rnacentral:rRNA from 1 species
GACAGAGGGUGCAAACGUUGUUCGGAAUUACUGGGCGUAAAGGGUUCGUAGGUGGCCUGCUAAGUCAAACGUGAAAUCCCUCAGCUUAACUGGGGAACUGCGUCUGAGACUGGUGGGCUUGAGUGCAGGAGAGGAACGCGGAAUUCCAGGUGUAGCGGUGAAAUGCGUAGAUAUCUGGAGGAACACCGGUGGCGAAGGCGGCGUUCUGGACUGCUACUGACACUGAGGAACGAAAGCCAGGGGAGCAAACGGG